GAAACAACAUGAUCUUCAAAGCAAAAAAUUGAAAUUGAAUCCAGAUUCCCUUAAUGAGUGAUCUUGAGCAAGUUAUUUAUGACUUUCAGAGAUAUGCUGAUAUGGUUUGGCUCUGUGUUCCCACCCAAAUCUCAUCUUGAACUGUACUCCCAUAAUUCCCACAUGUUGUGGGAGGGACCUAGUGGGAUAUAACUGAAUCAUCGGGGUGUUUUCCAGCAUAUUGUAGUUAAUAAAUCUCCUGAGAUCUGAUCGUUUUAUCAGGGGUUUCCCUUUUACAUCUUCCUAAUUUGCUCUUUGCCUGCUGUUAUCCAUGUAAGAUGUGACUUGAUCUUCCUUGCUUUCCGCCAUGAUUGUGAGGCUUCCCCAGCCACAUGGAAAACUGGACAUAACACACCUUCCCUCGUGUCUUACUUGGCUCCUCUUGAAUUUGCAGAAAUAAUGCCCUGUACGGUGAGUACCUGUAGCACAUUGAGAGGCAUAAAGUGUGGUCAUGGCAAUAUCGAAUAUUAAGGCCACCUGGAUUCAAAUCUCAUAUCUACAACUUUAUGGCUUUGUAAUUUUGGGAAAAGUAUUUAAUUCUCUCAUACCUCAAUUAACUUUAAAAUGGGAAUAAUAGUUUUUGGAGAGUUGCUGUAAAGAUUAAAUUCAUUCAUUCAUGUAAUAAUUUACAGUAAUGCCUAGCACAGACCAUGAUUCAAUAGGUGUUACCUGCUUUCUUAAUGGCAGCAGGAGCAGAAACUAUCUGUUUAAAUUCACUAUUCAUUCCUUAUAUCUGCUUCAGAAACAGUGAUCUUCUAUUGAAGAAGAAUAAUUUAAGUAACAUUGUUGUUUAUAUUUAACAAAGUGAAGUAUUUGUAAUAUCUAAAAGGGAUUUAUAAAUGUGGGAUAGUUUGGUAAUUUGCUUUUAUCAUAAAAAAUGCUGAAUUUGUUUACUAAUGCUUUUUAGUGAUUCUGAUAAAUGCCCAGUGCAAAUGUAUUUCUAUUCCUCAGUAAAAUUUUAGUGAUUUCCGCAAGGAAAAACAUUCAACAAUAGCAAAUCAACUAGGGGUAUAUUUUUAUUUUCUUUUAUUAUUAUUAUUUCUUUUUUAAGAAAAGCUACUGUUUAUUGAAAGCUUUCUAUUUGCUGGGGAAUCCUGUGAAGUGCUUUAUAUAUUUUAUCUCACAUCUAAUUCUUCAAACAACUAUGCAAAUAUAAAUUGCUACUCUAUUGCUAAAAACCUGUUAAUAAGAACACGAUAGGUGGUCAGUAGAGCUAAGAGUUGGCUCCCAAUUUCUACACUCACCCUCUUAACCACUGCUUUAGACCAAUUCCUGAGAAGAGUGAAAGGCAGCUUAGUCAGGGGUCCUUGCUCUGUUUUCCUCUGUCCUUUGACCUUGAACCCCGAACUGUCUCCCCCACUAAAAGGCAGGUCACGGUUAUUUGACUUCUUGUUAAUUUUUUGAUACUA
rnacentral:lncRNA from 1 species